UACGGAGGGUGCAAGCGUUUGUCCGGAAUCACUGGGCGUAAAGGGCGCGUAGGCGGCUCGGUAAGUAGGGGGUGAAAUCCUGCGGCUUAACCGCAGGGCUGCCUUCUAAACUGUCGAGCUUGAGCACGGUAGAGGCAGAUGGAAUUCCCGGUGUAGCGGUGGAAUGCGUAGAGAUCGGGAAGAACAUCAGUGGCGAAGGCGGUCUGCUGGGCCGUUGCUGACGCUGAGGCGCGACAGCGUGGGUAGCAAACAGG
rnacentral:rRNA from 1 species